CAGUAGCGUAUAUUAAAGUUGUUGCAGUUAAAAUGCUCGUAGUUGAAGUUCGGAUGCAGCAGAGCUUGGAAACGCUGUUAUGGUGCUUCCGUUGCUUUUGCUUGUCCACAGUGCGUUGCAAGUACGUAUGUGCUUGUGCGUGCAUUUUACUUUGAGAAACAUAGGGUGUUCCACGGAUGUUACGGCAUGAAUAUUCCAGCAUGGGAUAAUCUGGUACGACUUCCAAUCUGCCAUUUUGGUUCGUAGGUUGGAAGUAAUGAUUAAUAGGGACUGUCGGGGGCAUUGGUAUUUGACUGUCAGAGGUGAAAUUCUUAGAUUCGUUGAGGACCAACCACUGCGAAAGCAUUUGUCAAGGAUGUCUCCAUUAA
rnacentral:rRNA from 1 species